GAAUCACAAAGCCAUCUGGUCACAAAAUACUAGGCUGCGGCUUGAGAUCCCGAUCUGGAAAUUGAAGAGUUGGAGCAGUGUGACUUGGUAAGAUGCCUAUCUGGAAGUUGAUGAGAGAAAAUCUGGGACAAAUACCGUGAUGGUUUCGUUAUGGAAGAAGGCGCUGAUGAACUGGCAAUGGAGAGCUUGGAAAGCACAUUGAACAGAGGAGCUUCAAAAUCUUUCUCCUUCACACGAUUGGAGCAACCCUAGAUCUUAAAGGAGAAAACGCCAGGAUCACCUAAUGAUCCAAAGGAAAUACUGUUUGUGACUUCAAAUGGUUGGUGAUCCUCUAAGAAAUGGUUGACUUCGAGGACGAGGAAUUGUUGCAUAUAUGGCUUGCAGUUUUUGUAGGAGUGAUUCGAACCCAAAAAUCCAUCUUGAAAAUUAGGAAUUAAUAUUCAGAGAAAUGGAAUUGGGGAUAUAUGGCUUGCAGUUGCUCGCAUGCAUAUAUUUGGACAUAUUUUUUUUUUUUUGGAUAUAUGGAAUUGGGGACUGAUGGGUUUAAUUGUAUUAUUAGUUAAACAUAUGUAAUAAAGUAAUGAGAUACUGACAUGUCA